AGUGAACGCUGGCGGUAGGCCUAACACAUGCAAGUCGAACGGCAGCACAGUAAGAGCUUGCUCUUACGGGUGGCGAGUGGCGGACGGGUGAGGAAUACAUCGGAAUCUACUUUUUCGUGGGGGAUAACGUAGGGAAACUUACGCUAAUACCGCAUACGACCUACGGGUGAAAGCAGGGGAUCUUCGGACCUUGCGCGAUUGAAUGAGCCGAUGUCGGAUUAGCUAGUUGGCGGGGUAAAGGCCCACCAAGGCGACGAUCCGUAGCUGGUCUGAGAGGAUGAUCAGCCACACUGGAACUGAGACACGGUCCAGAGUCCUACGGGAGGCAGCAGUGGGGAAUAUUGGACAAUGGGCGCAAGCCUGAUCCAGCCAUACCGCGUGGGUGAAGAAGGCCUUCGGGUCGUAAAGCCCUUUUGUUGGGAAAGAAAAGCAGCAGGUUAAUACCCCGCUGUUCUGACGGUACCCAAAGAAUAAGCACCGGCUAACUUCGUG
rnacentral:rRNA from 1 species